UACAGAGACUGCAAGCGUUAUUCGGAUUCACUGGGCGUAAAGGGUGCGCAGGCGGCCAAGUGUGUUAGGCGUGAAAGCCCGGGGCUUAACCCCGGAAUUGCACCUAAAACUACAUGGCUAGAGCAUUGGAGAGGGUAGCGGAAUUCACGGUGUAGCAGUGAAAUGCGUAGAUAUCGUGAGGAACACCAGAGGCGAAGGCGGCUACCUGGACAAUUGCUGACGCUCAGGCACGAAAGCCGUGGGGAGCAAACAGG
rnacentral:rRNA from 1 species